rnacentral:rRNA from 1 species
UACGAAGGGGGCUAGCGUUGUUCGGAAUUACUGGGCGUAAAGCGCGCGUAGGCGGUCUUCCAAGUCAGUGGUGAAAGCCCGGAGCUCAACUCCGGAACUGCCAUUGAAACUGUAAGACUUGAGGAUGAGAGAGGUGAGUGGAAUUCCCAGUGUAGAGGUGAAAUUCGUAGAUAUUGGGAAGAACACCGGUGGCGAAGGCGGCUCACUGGCUCAUAUCUGACGCUCAGGCGCGACAGCGUGGGGAUCAAACAGG